CUUAUAUUGGAAGCCAAUGAUGUCUGUGGCUAGUGAAGUGUGCAGUCAUUUCAAUGUGCCAUUAUAUGAUAAUACAUUUGGGAAUCCCAAUGCUGAUAUUUUCUUUGUUACUGGGUGUGUUGCAUUUAAGUGAAAUGGGUCUAUAGGAAAUGAAACAACUUUUGUGUUCUUGCAUAUAGUUGUAGCUUCUGCCUUCUGUAAGUUGGAAUAUGUUACAUGGAGUUUAAAUGAUAAAGCUUUAUUUCUCACUAGCUGUAAAACCAUAGUGCUUGUUUAGCUAAAAGACAUGUCCCUUUUAUUUUGAUAAUGCUGUUAGUGGACAUAGUUAUCUUUAGUUUGGCUGUUAUUACAUUCAUAUGUUGUACGAACUGCUAUAUACAAUCCGCUUUUUUGUUGGUUGAUUCAUCAAAUGCUUGGUGCUUUUUGUGGGAUAGUGAAGGCUUUACGCAAGCAUUUUUAUGUGGAUCUUUUACAGAAGCUAGGAAAAGGUACUGCAAUAGUUAUAAUAUUCUUUGGUAUCAGUUGAUAUUCUGAUUGCUAUGUUGGACAGUGUAAUCAUGGUUGAAAAAGGUUGGAGUAUUCUGCUAGGGAAUAUUGGUUACCUAACUGGUUGAGUUGCAUUAUGACUGACUGGAGAUUCUGAACAAUCGUGAGUGCAUACCAUCUUUGAGAUUGCAUUCGAGCUAAGUGAAUUUAAUAAGUUUGUGAUAUCAAGAAGGAAGGCUUGUUUAUAACAGGCUGCCACUAUUGAGAACUUCAAGCAUAAGUAGUUCUGUUAACAAGAAUUUGACUGCAAACUUUCUGUUGUGGUUUCCUUGCUUGCAUAUGGCUGGUGGUUCAGCACUGAGUGCAAGAUAUAGUCUCAAUGGCUGAAGGAAAAAUUGAUUUCCUUAAGGAUGCUAUGCAAGGACUUUAUUCAAUGUAGUAAACCAUUUACCAUAU
rnacentral:misc_RNA from 1 species